rnacentral:tRNA from 1 species
UAGAAUGUGGUGUAAAGGAAACACGGAGAAGUUUGAGUUCUCUAAUAUGGGUUCAAGUCCUAUUGUUCUAG